UACGUAGGGUGCGAGCGUUGUCCGGAAUUACUGGGCGUAAAGAGCUCGUAGGUGGUUUGUCGCGUUGUCCGUGAAAACUCACAACUCAAUUGUGGGCGUGCGGGCGAUACGGGCAGACUGGAGUACUGCAGGGGAGACUGGAAUUCCUGGUGUAGCGGUGAAAUGCGCAGAUAUCAGGAGGAACACCGGUGGCGAAGGCGGGUCUCUGGGCCGAUACUGACGCUGAGGAGCGAAAGCAUGGGGAGCGAACAGG
rnacentral:rRNA from 1 species